rnacentral:rRNA from 1 species
AUUGAACGCUGGCGGCAGGCCUAACACAUGCAAGUCGAGCGGAGCGGCGGACGGGUGAGUAAUGCCUAGGAAUCUGCCUGGUAGUGGGGGCUAACGUCCGGAAACGGGCGCUAAUACCACAUACUAUCAGAUGAGCCUAGGUCGGAUGAGCUAGUAGGUAAGGUAAUGGCUUACCUAGGCGACGAUCCCUAGCUGGUCUGAGAGGAUGAUCAGCCACACUGGGACUGAGACACGGCCCAGACUCCUACGGGAGGCAGCAGUGGGGAAUAUUGCACAAUGGGCGCAAGCCUGAUGCAGCCAUGCCGCGUGUAUGAAGAGGGCCCUAGGGUUGUAAAGUACUUUCAGUCGGGAGGCGUUACCGACAGAAGAAGCACCGGCUAACUCCGUGCCAGCAGCCGCGGUAAUUC